GACGUAGGGGGCCAGCGUUGUUCGGAAUUACUGGGUGUAAAGGGUUCGUAGGCGGUGUGGCAAGUCGGGAGUGAAAUCUCUGGGCUCAACCCAGAGUCUGCUUCCGAAACUGCUGUGCUUGAGUGUGGGAGAGGCGCGUGGAAUUGCAGGUGUAGCGGUGAAAUGCGUAGAUAUCUGUAGGAACACCAGUGGCGAAGGCGGUCUCUUGGGGCAUUCUUGACGCUGAGGCGCGAAAGCUGGGGGAGCGAACGGG
rnacentral:rRNA from 1 species